CAUGCGCAGCGUACACAUGCAAGUCGAGCGGUAACAGGGGGUGCUUGCACCCCGCUGACGAGCGGCGGACGGGUGAGUAAUGCAUAGGAAACUGCCCAGUAGUGGGGGAUAGCCCGGGGAAACCCGGAUUAAUACCGCGUACGCCCUUCGGGGGAAAGCAGGGGAUCUUCGGACCUUGCGCUAUUGGAUGUGCCUAUGUCGGAUUAGCUAGUUGGUGGGGUAAAGGCCUACCAAGGCGACGAUCCGUAGCUGGUCUGAGAGGAUGAUCAGCCACAUCGGGACUGAGACACGGCCCGAACUCCUACGGGAGGCAGCAGUGGGGAAUAUUGGACAAUGGGGGCAACCCUGAUCCAGCCAUGCCGCGUGUGUGAAGAAGGCUUUCGGGUUGUAAAGCACUUUCAGUGAGGAGGAAAACUCUGCGACUAAUACUCGUAGGGCUUGACGUUACUCACAGAAGAAGCACCGGCUAACUCCGUGCCAGCAGCCGCGGUAAUACGGAGGGUGCAAGCGUUAAUCGGAAUUACUGGGCGUAAAGCGCGCGUAGGUGGUUUGAUAAGCGAGAUGUGAAAGCCCCGGGCUUAACCUGGGAACGGCAUUUCGAACUGUC
rnacentral:rRNA from 1 species